rnacentral:tRNA from 2 species
GGCCGGGUAGCUCAAUGGCAGAGCGUCUGACUACGCGUCAGAAGGUUGUAGGUUCGAAUCCUGCCCUGGCUG